rnacentral:tRNA from 1 species
UGCGGCCCCGGUCGGGCGGGACGGGUCAGUUCUUGACCGGCCAUUCCAGCGGCGGCUUCAUGAAGCCGCGGCUCAGCUCCACCGCCGCGGCC